UCCCCUUUCCCUUUUGGUAACCAUGAGUUUGUUUUCUGUGAGUCUGUUUCUAUUGUAAAUAAGUUCAUUUGUAUCAUAUUUUAGAUUCCACAUCCAAGUGAUAUCAUAUGGCAUUUGUCUUCCUCUGUCUGACUUACUUCACUUAGUAGGAUAAUCUCUAGGUCCAUCCAUAUUGCUGCUGCAAAUGACAUUAUUUUGUUCUUUUUUUUUUGGCCGUGCCACACAGCAUGCGAGAUCUUAGUUCCCCGACCAGGGAUCGAACCGGAGCCCCCUGCAGUGGAAGUGCAGAGGCUUAACCACUGGACUGCCAGGGAAGUCCCUUGUUCUUUUUGAUGGCUGAACAAUAUUCCUGUGUGUGUGUAUGAGUGUGUGUGUGUGUGUGUGUGUGUGUACACCAGAUCUUCUUUAUCCAUUCAUCUGUCGAUGGACAUUUAUGUUGCUUCCAUGUCUUGGCUUUUGUGAAUAGUGCUGCUAUGAACAUUGGGGUGCAUGUAUCUUUUCAAAUUACAGUUUUCUCUGGAUAUAUGCCCAGGAGUGGGAUUGCUGGAUCAUGUGGUAAUUCUAGUUUUAGUUUUUGAAGGAACCUCCACGCUUUUUUCCAUAAUGGCUGCACCAAUUUACAUUACCACCAACAGUGUAGGAGGGUUCCCUUUCAUGAGAAAUCUUAUUGACUUCUCACCGAUUUCUUCCCCACCAUUGAGUUCCCCCGCCCCCAAAUACCCAACUCCCAUGGUCUUAAAGCAGACUUAUUCUCACCAGGAAUUUCACUAUCUCAGAAAACACAAUCACAAAAUCUCAAAUCUGACUCUAACAUCUUUACUGCAGUAUCACACACAAGCAUUUCUUCAACCUCAUCCAGACCUGCAAAUCUUUUGACUCUGCCGGAUUUUUGCAUUUAUUUUCCCACUGGUACUCACUGCCCUCCUCACCCAUUCAGUCAUAAUCAAUAUACUCACUUCCUUGCAAAACCCCAUAACCCCUUUGCCCCUCUCUUUUCUUCUAGCUUGCCCAGCUCUAGUUAAACCCAGCUCUUCCCCUACUCUUUACCUGUAUCAGAAUAUCUGAAUAUUGCUGGAAAAUUAAAACUGGCAGAUGUCACUUUAAGUUGACGUCCAUGAAUUUCAACUGAACCCUCAGUCCUGCCUAACCUUCCUACUGUAUUUUCCUGCUGUAUUCAAUUCCCCACACUCUACAAGGAUGGUUUUUCAAUCUUCUUCCUUUGUCCCCUUCUCAUCCUUCACUCUAAGCAGAUGAGCUUGCCUCAUACUUCACAGACAUGAUAGAGUCAGACAGGAACCCUCUCCUCUACCAAAUAUCUGCAUCUUGCCCAGGUUUUCUGCCUUCCCUGCUUGCUUUUUUUAAUUGAAGUAUCGUUGGUUUACAAUAUUGUGUUAGUUUCAGAUGUACAGCAAAGUGAAUCACUUACACGUAUAUAUAUAUGCCUUUUUUCAAUUCUUUUCCAUUAUAGGUUAUUAUAAGAUACUGAAUAUAGUUCCCUGUGCUUUUUUAAAACUUUAUUUUAUUUACAUAUAGGUGAUUUUCAAUGUUGUGUUAAUUUCUGCUGUACAGCAAAGUGACUUCAUUGCACAUACAUAUACAUUCUUUUCCAUUAUGGUUCAUCACAGGCUAUUGAAUAUACUUCUAGUUCCUUACUCUGGAUUCCCUUCCUUAGUCACUCAUUUCUCCCCCUAUCCUGGAUCAUUCCCACCUGCUUUAAAAAAUUCACCAAUAUUCUAAAAAAAUGUUUUUAACAACAAAAAGCUCUUUGAUCCCACAUCUCCUUCCAGCCACUCCCCCAUUUAUUUGCUCCCCUUAGCAACAAAACCAGAGUUCUCUGCAGUGGCUGUUUCCACAUCAACUCCAGUUUCUCCUUAAAUCAGUCAGGCUCGAGUUUCUGCCUCCACCUGUUGAUUUGGAAACUCCAUGAUGCAGAAGCCAGUGGUCACUUCGGGGCCUUGUCUUACUGCUGACCUCUUGGUAUUAUUAUUUUUUUAAAUAUUUAUUUGGCUGUGCCAGUCUUAGUAGUGGCACGUGGGAUCUUCAUUGCCGCGUGCGGGAUCUUUAGUUGCGGCAUGCAGGAUCUUAGUUAGACGACCAGGUAUCAAACCCGGGCCCCCUGCACUGGGAGCGCGGAGUCUUAGCCACUUGACCACCAGGUAAGUCCCUGACCUCUUGACAUUAUUACAGUUGGCCGCUCUCCUCCUUGUUACACCUCUCUUGGCAUUCAGGGUUCCUCUGAGUUCCCUUUGAUGCCUCCGCUUCCUUUGCUGAGGGCUCAGUUCUGGGGUCCCUUCUUUUCUGUAUCUAAAUGCUGUUUUAGUCACUGUGGGUCUUCAGCACCUGGAACAUAAUAGGUGUUCAGUGAAGUUCUGUGAAAUAAGAUAAUAGCAUCUGCAUCAUAGGAUUAUUGUGUGAAUAAGUGGACCAAGAAUGAAUAAUAAAGUAAUGGCAACUUUUAAUUGAGUGCUUACUAUGUGCUAAGCUCUUUUCAUGUAUUAUCUCACUGAGUCUUCCCAACAGUCCUUUGCGCUAGGAAUUCCUAUUAUUACCAUUCUGUAGAAGAGGAAGUUGAAGCUUAGUUAAAUGACUUGCCUAAGUUCACACAGAUAAUAAGUGGACAAGGAAUUUCCUGGCGGUCCAGUGGUUAGGACUCGGUGCUUUCACUGCCAAGGGUGCAGUUUCAAUCCCUGGUCAGGGAACUAAGAUCCUGCAAGCUUCAUGGCUCAGGCAAAAAAGUAAUAAUAAAAACCUUUAAAAAAAAUAAUAAGUGGAUGAACCCAUCCUCACUUUGGUCUUUCUGACUCAAAGUCAAUUCUCAGAAUCACUAAAUUGAGAUCAUAUGUAGGAAAGUGCUUUGUAAACAGCAAAAGACGAUGUUACUACAGUACAUAGCAGCACACAGCAUGGCAACUUGCACAUAGUAGGUGCCCAUGAGUGUUUGCUGAAUUGAGGCAGGGUGGGAAGAAGUCCGCACCAAGUAGUACCAUCACCCGAGGAAGGAAGAAGCAAUCUUGAGGACCUCGGAGACUCAAAUCAACCUUGCACCAUACGCUGAAUCUUUUGUGAUUCUCCUCAGCUAAUACAAGACACGUAAAGUGGGCAUUACCCAGACAUUUGCCCAACAUGGUUUCUAUCUUUCCUCCUUCAAUUAAGUCUCCACAGCUGGAACUGUUGGGUUAAUAAAUGCACAGUCAUUCCAGGGGGCUGGGGCUUGUUUAGCUCCUAAAUCAUCUCUGAUUUUAACAGGCCAGAGCAUGCUUCCUGAGGUGGGGAUCUUCUCAGAUUACUAACAGUGGUUUUAGAUGUUUUACUGUGUCUCUGGAGAUAGGAAAGAACCCUAGAAUUAGCCAACUUUUGACCCCUCACUACACUGAAUUCUACAGACAAGGGGUUUAAACCAUAUCUGUAUUUUAAAAUUUUACUGAAGUAUAGUUGAUUUACUUUUUUACUUUUUUUAAUUUUAUUGACCAUAUCCCUUGAACAUUCUACCUCCAUAUACUAAAGUUUUAGUGGGAUUCAAUGUAAGGAUCUUCAUUAGGAAGAGUACCAGGAGGGAAAAUACGACGCCUGGUAAUUCCAUCUUCCCCAUCUUCAGCCGGGUUAGUGGUCCUUUCUACAACUUAACCCUUCCUCGUUCUCAGAUGUUUAGUUUGCGUGGAGUUGAGCCCACCCCCAGCUCCUGAGGACAGGAUCCUGAUUGACUGCAGCCAAAGUGUGGCCUUGAUUUGAGGAUAGGCCCUUGACCUAAUUUGGGCCACAGUGCUCCCUGUAGAACACUAAUUAAACUCUGCCUGAAGGGGGAUGGUCCAUCAGGUAAAUGUGGGAAAUGCACUAAACAGUAUUCUCGCUCGGGGAUUCUCUUUUUUUCAAGAACCUCAAUUAUCCCAUCUCUCCCCAGAGUGUUGAAUUACUCCUUCUCAACUAGAUGAUUACUGUGGUUUUAAACAUGCAUAAGUGUCUCAUAUGUUAAAAAAAAAAAAAAAAAAAAAAAAAGAAGGAAGAAAGAGAAAGAAGGAAAAAGCCUACAUGGAUCCCUCUAGCCCACCACCCUAUCUCCUGUCUUUCUCAGCUACAGAAUUGUCAGUAUUUCCUCUCUCCACUUCUGCUUCCCCUUCUAUUCCAUCCCUCCUCCACAGAAAUGACCCUCAGGUCACCCCUGCCUCCAUGUCGAAAAGCGCAUGGAUGUGUUUCAAUCCUCAGCUCCUUUGACUCCCCAGGAGUACUUGACACUAUUGGUCACUUCUUCCUCCUUAAAGCACUCUGGUCCACGGGCUUCCAUGACAUCGCAUGACUCUCCUGGUCUCAGUCCUACCUCUCUGACUGCUCCUUCUCCGUUCUUUGCAGACUCAUCCUCUUCUACGCAACCCCUAAAUGAUGGGGUUCUCUCCUCCUCUGACUUUGCGGCUUCUCCUUAGACAAUCUCAUCCACGCUCACGGCCUCGGUUACCAGCAGGCCUCAGUCACGUCCCCACCCCUGGAGCUGGCAGGGAUGGGGACCCCGUAAUGGGGGAGGGGAACUGUUUCCCACGUAAUGGGGAGGGGAAUCAGGGUACUAUUCACAAAAGAAGGAGAAAGGGAUGCUGAAGAGCAGAAAAAAAAAAACAGAUGGUCCCUACAAGCAUGCAUUCUGGGUAAGCUCAUGCAGAUUAUCGAAACAGGCUCCUUUUGGGUCGCAGAAAUUUCUCAUCGUUGGAACCCUAAGCAGGACUGAGUACAGGCACCCAAAAUGCUGAUUUCCUCUGUAGACAGAACACUGUGUGGUUUGCAAAGGAGGCAGCCUCGGCUAGACCACUGAGAUCAACUUUUCCCACCUACAGCAUCCUGAAAGAACACGUAGCAAGAAGGUGGAGGGAGACAGACCACUAGCACUUCACUUCUUUUAAACACACCCCAUAGAGACACAUAUGUAGAGAACAAACGUAUGGACACCAAGGGGGGAAAGUGGCAGGGCGGUGGUGUGAUGAAUUGGGAGAUUGGGAUUGACAUAUAUACACUAAUAUGUAUAAACAUAUAUACACUAAUAUGUAUAAAAUAGAUAACUAAUAAGAACCUGCUGUAUAAAAUAAAUAAAUAAAAUUCUAAAAUUCAAAAAACAAACAAAAACACACUCCAAAGUCAUCAGUGCCAAGGGGAUGCUUUGUCUGAGGUUAGACAUCAUCCUCUCGGGGCUUUUGUUUUUUCUUUUUUCUUUUUUCUUUUUUUUUUUUUAAUUAAUUACUUUUAGAUUUGGCUGCACUGGGUCUUCGUUGCUGCGCACGGGCUUUCUCUAGUUGCAGCGAGCGGGGGCUACUCUUCGUUGCAGCGCGCGGGCUUCUCAUUGCGGUGGCUUCUCUUGUUGCGGAGCACAGGCUCUAGGCGCGUGGGCUUCAGUCAUUGUGGCUCGCAGGCUCUAGAGUGCAGGCUCAGUAGUUGUGGCACACGGGCUUAGUUGCCCCGUGGCAUGUGGGAUCUUCCCGGACCAAGGUUCGAAUCCAUAUCCCUUGCAUUGGCAGGCGGAUUCUUAACCACUGCGCCACCAGGGAAGUCCUGUUUUGCUUUUCUAAUAGGUACCUGGGAGAACUCACAGCUGCCUUCUGCUGGACUAGAAGUAUUUGUAUCCUGACCAUCUGCGAGGUCUUGCUCAGAGUUAGAGAAAAGCUUCUCAAAGCUUUAUAUUUUAUUCAAGAGAACCAUUGGAGUGCAGAGCGUACGAGGACCUUGUUGAGGUUGUUAACGCCUUGGACCAGGCUAGACAUGGUACCUCAAGGUAGAGCCAGUGAAGAUGGACAAAGGUCACAUCACUACAGAAAGGUGAGCCAGGAUUUGAAUGGAGUUCUGUCUGAUCCGAAAAGCCUAUUCUUUUUUCACUUCUCCACAUUACCCCAAAUAAAGAGGUGUUCAGAUGUUUUGAGUGAUGAUCAUAAUGAUGACAGACUCUAGGAUUCUGUGCAAUUUGCUCCCUGGCAUAUUUGUGCUACAUAUUCCUGCAGCACGUCUAC